rnacentral:lncRNA from 1 species
CAAAUAUUUUCCGGCACAUGUUCUUCCUCGACCGGAGAGAAUGAAGAACCACGGCGAGCCACAAGAACACGUGUUCCACGCGCAGGAAGAACGACUCGGGAAGGCAGAACAAGAUGCGCGUGCGGAGAAGGAGGUAGCGCGUGAUCGGGUAGAGAUGGUGAGGGAGGAGAUGGUGGUGGGGCCCACCCGGUAGAGAAGAGACGUUGCUGGCUAAAUUAUUAUCGUCUUGUUCAUCGUCGGCGAAAUCAGAGAAACUGGAUUGUUUCUCGGCGGCGUCUAUGUUAUCUGCUACACGCCGUCGAGUUGUUGUGGGCCCCGCGGCGACCCUUGGGCUAGAGUUGGAAGAGCUCGUGGUUGGGCCGCCGGAGGACAUGGUGGCCAGUAACGAGAAAGAUUAAAGAGAACAAGAAAAAGAGUCCCAAAAAAAUGAAGUUAAAUUAGAAAUUGUGUUUUUUAGAAGAUUUUGAGGUUGGUGUUUAAAGAGAAACGAGAGAACGUUUUUGGUUUGGGCUGUGUAUUUUGUUUAGAGCCGUCGGUUGAAAAGUUUGAGAGUAGCUUUUGGUUGGAG